GGUGAAAAGAACGGCGGUGAGCCGAGUGAAAUAGAACCUGAAACCAUUUGCUUACAAUCAUUCAGAGCACUAUGUAGCAAUACAGUGUGAUGGACUGCCUUUUGCAUAAUGAGCCUGCGAGUUGUGGUGUCUGGCAAGGUUAAGCUAACGCGAAGCCGUAGCGAAAGCGAGUCUGAAUAGGGCGCUAAGUCAGAUGCUGCAGACCCGAAACGAAGUGAUCUAUCCAUGAGCAGGUUGAAGCUAGUGUAAGAACUAGUGGAGGACCGAACCCGCUAGCGUUGAAAAGCUAUGGGAUGACUUGUGGAUAGGGGUGAAAGGCCAAUCAAACUUCGUGAUAGCUGGUUCUCUCCGAAAUAUAUUU
rnacentral:rRNA from 1 species